GCACUGGCAUAGUUCAGUGGUUACUUCAAUGCACAAAUCUGUCUGAGAUUUCGUAGCUCUCUCUCCCUACCAGGGAUCGAACCACGGACGCUGUCCAGUGUUUUC
rnacentral:vault_RNA from 1 species